CCUAAACUGAAAUAAUUCAUGUACCUGUCUUAUGAGUGAACGCUUGUUGAAGUGACAAGUUCUUGCCAUUUUUGACUGCCACAGCUUUACCCUUUCCCAGUGCUUCCAACCCAAUUGCAAAGCAUCCAGCUCCCCGCAGCACUGUAAUUUAUUCAUGUUUGUGUGCAAAUGUGAGAGUCACCUCAGGGCCAGCCUUGCAGCGAGGAUGACUAGGCCUUGUCCAGUGGGAAGACUGGAAUGGCUCAGACAGCGACAGGGCCAUUCCAGGAUGUGACAAGGUGCCAGGUGAGCUGGGAGGAGGUAUCAUCCCAGUGAGCAGGUGAGGGGGGCUGUGCAGGCAAGGUGGCUCUUCCCUCCUGGUAGCCCAGCUUUGCCUUUCUCCCACCUCCACAGAGCACCCAUCUCCCCUCCACUACACAGGGACAGAUUCCACCUGGCUCCUGUGAAUGAGGGGACAUCCAACCCUGGUGAAGGGGGCUGUGACUAUCAGCUGUCCAAUAGGAUAGAUCAGGAUUUACAAAGCACUUUCCUGCUUGUCUCUAGAUUGAGAGAUGUCCUAACAAGAAAAAGCAAGAGCUCUGGCCAAGAUGAUAUCCAAGCGCUGAGCAGAGCGUGGCAGAAACAGGACACAGUCACACGGCUGCCUACCCCACCUCACACCUGGAGUUGCCUCAGCAGGUUGGGACCAACGCUUCCACCCAGGAGGAGAGCUGUCUACAGCGCCCUCUGCUGGGCCCCAGGAGACCACCCCUGGCAGGCCCCACCUCCUAAAGCUGCACCACAGGCUGGCAACCAGUUCUUUAGCACAUGACCUUUGGGAGACACUUCAGAUCCAAAGCGUAACAAAUACUGCCUUGCCAACAACUUCGCUGCUUGACUCCCUCCCUGUUACAUGGAUGAGGAAUCCCAGCUCUUUCCAAAGGUCCCCUCUCCUCAUGCUUGGACUGAUUCCCUUGGAGCAAAGAACUACAAAGCAUUUGUUCCCUACAUCACAGAGAAUCAGGGUUAACUGGCAGCACAGCCGUCCUGGGGAUGACACUGCCAGCUUGUGUGACAAUCAAGAACUCCAAAGCCACCCUGAAUAGGAGUGGAGAUCAGCAGUUUGCAAUGUGAGAUUCCAGAAGGAAGAGACCCUGGCUCUUCUUGGAGGAUCGAGAGGACAGGAGCUUGAGUUCUGCAAUUUUGGUGAAGCAUGAAGAAGACGGAUGUGCAUGAUUCCUUUGCUAGGAGUGCAGACAAGAGCCAGUAAGAAGAUUGCAGGCUGCUGAAGCAGGGCUUUAACAUCCAUGAAACCAUCUUUGGCAAUUGUCCCUCACGUAAUUGCUCAUGGCCGAGGAAUACAGGGGUGCUCCCUUCUCUCACCUCCCUGGCCCCUGGGUGCUUCUUCCCACUGCCUUGACUGCUCCUCCAAGCAGGAAACAGCAGGAGGUGAGAUAAGCAAGGGACGCAUCUGCUUGCUCCCACAGGCCCAGACAAUGGGCAGCACAAGACAGGAAGUGAAGUCCCUUUCUUUGCAGUUAAGGGUCUAGCUCCCAUGGGAGAAAUCGAAACAGUAUUGUUUCCAAGAACAGAGAAGUCCAGAAGAGAACAAAGCUUUUGGCAUCCACUUCUGUCUGGAGAAGAUAGUAUCAUAGACAUUCCCACCCCACUUAAUGGAAUCCAGCGUGUCUGGGACUAAGGACCAGUUUACAGGUUCAUCUAUUAGGAUUAUGCCCAAAGGAAGAGAUCUUCCAGUAGUUUGACUAGCCCUCAAUGCCUUCACUAUUAUCACAAGAAGAGCAAAGUCUGCUGACUUUUAAGAGCAGUUUCUAAGGGGUAUGCACCCCUACCAUCCGUAGCCUCACAGAGAGUCUGGGGGCACAUUCGCUGAUGGCCACCAUUCUGCCAUUGACAGCUCAAUUGGAAACAUUACUCCAACAAACUGAAUUUGCUGAGAUACACAGUAGUAGGGAUGGAUGGAAAUACCAGACACCUCAAAAUCUGGAGGCUAGUUCUUUUUCUUUCUUUCUUUUUUUGUUUCUUUUUUUGGUACCAGGGAUUGAACUCGGGACCUUGCUCUUGCAAGGCAGCUGGCAGAACUACUGAGCUAAAUCCCCGGCCCUAGCCCAGUUCUUUUUCAUUCCCCUUUUGUUUGUUUAUUUUUUGCAGUGCUAGGGAUAAAAUCCAGGCCUUCACAGUCACAUCUCUAGCCCCUUUAAAAAAAAUAUUUUCCUACCUGUGUGUGGUGGUACAUGCCUGUAAUCCCAGCACUCAGAGGCUGAGGCAGGAGGAU
ensembl:lncRNA